rnacentral:lncRNA from 1 species
AAAUCAACUGUGUAGAAUAAACACUUAAAAGCUAUGCAACAUUGUGUUGCUAUGCUAGGAUAUACUCACAGCUAUGAUUGUUUAUUCUUUGUGGUCGUGUCCAACUAUAAUAAGAUGCACAGGGCUGAAUAACAAUAUGCCGUCUACCUUCUCAACUGGAACGUGCGCUCUUGCUAUUGCCGCAUCUCUUCUCCUUGCUGCAGUCGGAUGUCUUCACAAAUAACCCAAAGAUGCCCAGUGCAGAAUGACCUCACGGUACUACUUUCACAGUGUCUUCUUCAAAAUGUGCUCAAUUCUUGGCCACUACUUGGUUUUCUUUACAUUCGUAGGCUAAUAAGAUUGCAUACCAGAUCAAAAAAACACUGAAAAGAGCUCUAUCCACAAAAUGUCGCCCUGAGUUUGCUCAAUCAAGAAGCUUUGAUCCUGGAAUGACAGACAAGGAUGGGCAACAAACCAAUCAAUUUGGUAGAAUGCAGUAUGUUGGUCUCAUUGUGAGAUACGGGCCCAUGCCCCUUUUUGGAAGGGGCCAGAGCAGGGGAUCGCAAUCGCGAUCCCCCUCCGGCUUCUUCGGGCGCAGCGGGGGCGGAGGCGUCGCGAAGAUUCCGUGAUUGCUCCGCAUUCACCCCGCGGCCGCACGAGCGGCUGCUGAUUUUGCUCCACCGCCGUGAUUCCCGCGGCAGAGAGCUGUUGAAAUGGGGCAAUAAAACCCCCAUUCUUCCACCUCCGGAGAUCACCCGAGCCCUCCUCCGA